rnacentral:rRNA from 1 species
AGAGUUUGAUCAUAGCUCAGGAUGAACGCUGGCGGUGCGCCUAACACAUGCAAGUCGAACGCGAACCAUUUAGAUUACUUUGAAGGGCUUGCCUGGAUGAGUAUGAAAUUUUCGGUUUGAGUGGCGAACGAGAGAGUAAUGUAUUGGUAUCUCCCCCCAAGUCAGGGAUAGCCCAUCGAAAGAUGGAUUAAUACCGGAUAGUCCCGCAAGGGUAAAGCAGCAAUGCGCUCGGGGAAGAGCCUGUAUCCUAUCAGCUAGUUGGCGGGGUAAUAGCCCACCAAGGCAAUGACGGGUAGCUGGUCUGAGAGGACGACCAGCCUCGAUGGAACUGAGACACGGUCCAUACACCUACGGGUGGCAGCAGUGAGGAAUCUUCCACAAUGGACGAAAGUCUGAUGGAGCGACACCGCGUGAAGGAUGAAGGUUUUGUUAUUGUAAACUUCUUUUCUCAGGGACGAUAAUGACGGUACCUGAGGAAUAAGGGACGGCUAACUAUGUGCCAGCAGCCGCGGUAAUACAUAGGUCCCAAGCGUUAUCCGGAAUUACUGGGCGUAAAGCGUCUGCAGGUGGAAAAGUGUGUGAGACGUGAAAGACCGGGGCUCAACCCCGUGUUUGUGUCUCAAACUGCUUUUCUUGAGUGAGCAAGAGGUAUGCGGAAUUUAUGGAGUAGGAGUGCAAUCCGUUGACACCAUAAAGAACACCAAAAGCGAAGGCAGCAUACUGGGGCUCUACUGACACUCAGAGACGAAAGCGUGGGGAGCGAAAGGGAUUAGAUACCCCUGUAGUCCACGCCCUAAACUAUGAUGACUAGGUGUUGGUCCUUCGGGAUCAGUGCCGUAGCUAACGCGUUAAGUCAUCCGCCUGAGUAGUACGACCGCAAGGUUAAAACUCAAAUGAAUAGACGGGGGCCCACACAAGCAGUGGAUCAUGCGGUUUAAUUCGAUACUGAACGAGGAACCUUACCCAGACUUGAUAUCUACGAAACCUCUCAGAAAUGAGAGGGUGCCCUCACGGGAAUCGUAAGACAGGUGCUGCAUGGUUGCCGUCAGCUCGUGCCUUGAGGUGUUCNNAGAGUCCGUUAACGAGCGAAACCCAUGUCGUUAGUUACUAUGUCUAACGAGACUGCCCGAGUUAAUCGGGAGGAAGGUGUGGAUGACGUCAAAUCAGCAUGGCCCUUAUGUCUGGGGCUACACGCAUGAUACAAUGGUCGGUACAAAGAGUCGCUAACCUGCGAAGGUACGCUAAUCUCAUAAAGCCGAUCUCAGUCCGGAUUGUAGGCUGAAACUCGCCUACAUGAAGUUGGAAUUGCUAGUAAUCGUGAAUCAGAUAUGUCACGGUGAAUAUGUUCCUGGGUCUUGUACUCACCGCCCGUCAAAGCAUGGAAGAUGUACCUACCGGAAGUCCCUUAAGUAAUAUGAGGGCCUAUGGUAGAGAUAUUGACUGGGCUUAAGUCGUAACAAGGUAUCCGUACGAGAACGUGCGGAUG